AGUCGAACGCACUCUCGUUUAGAUUGAAGGAGCUUGCUCCUGAUUGAUAAACAUUUGAGUGAGUGGCGGACGGGUGAGUAACACGUGGGUAACCUGCCCUAAAGUGGGGGAUAACAUUUGGAAACAGAUGCUAAUACCGCAUAAAACCUAACACCGCAUGGUGUAGGGUUGAAAGAUGGUUUCGGCUAUCACUUUAGGAUGGACCCGCGGUGCAUUAGUUAGUUGGUGAGGUAAAGGCUCACCAAGACCGUGAUGCAUAGCCGACCUGAGAGGGUAAUCGGCCACACUGGGACUGAGACACGGCCCAGACUCCUACGGGAGGCAGCAGUAGGGAAUCUUCCACAAUGGACGAAAGUCUGAUGGAGCAACGCCGCGUGAGUGAAGAAGGUUUUCGGAUCGUAAAACUCUGUUGUUGGAGAAGAAUGUAUCUGAUAGUAACUGAUCAGGUAGUGACGGUAUCCAACCAGAAAGCCACGGCUAACUACGUGCCAGCAGCCGCGGUAAUACGUAGGUGGCAAGCGUUGUCCGGAUUUAUUGGGCGUAAAGCGAGCGCAGGCGGUUUCUUAAGUCUGAUGUGAAAGCCUUCGGCUCAACCGAAGAAGUGCAUCGGAAACUGGGAAACUUGAGUGCAGAAGAGGACAGUGGAACUCCAUGUGUAGCGGUGAAAUGCGUAGAUAUAUGGAAGAACACCAGUGGCGAAGGCGGCUGUCUGGUCUGUAACUGACGCUGAGGCUCGAAAGCAUGGGUAGCAAACAGGAUUAGAUACCCUGGUAGUCCAUGCCGUAAACGAUGAGUGCUAGGUGUUGGAGGGUUUCCGCCCUUCAGUGCCGCAGCUAACGCAUUAAGCACUCCGCCUGGGGAGUACGACCGCAAGGUUGAAACUCAAAGGAAUUGACGGGGGCCC
rnacentral:rRNA from 2 species